rnacentral:SRP_RNA from 1 species
GCUGGGCGUGGUGGUGCACACCUGUAAUCCCAGCUACUUGGGAGGCUGAGGCAAGAGAAUUGCUUGAACCCGGGAGGCGGAGGUUGCAGUGAGCUGCUAUCAAGCCACUGUACUCCAGCCUGGGUGACAGAGCAAGACUCUGUCUCAA